rnacentral:rRNA from 1 species
GAUGAACGCUGGCGGCGUGCCUAAUACAUGCCAGUCGAGCGAACAGACGAGGAGCUUGCUCCUCUGACGUUAGCGGCGGACGGGUGAGUAACACGUGGAUAACCUACCUAUAAGACUGGGAUAACUUCGGGAGACCGGAGCUAAUACCGGAUAAUAUAUUGAACCGCAUGGUUCAAUAGUGAAAGACGGUUUUGCUGUCACUUAUAGAUGGAUCCGCGCCGCAUUAGCUAGUUGGUAAGGUAACGGCUUACCAAGGCAACGAUGCGUAGCCGACCUGAGAGGGUGAUCGGCCACACUGGAACUGAGACACGGUCCAGACUCCUACGGGAGGCAGCAGUAGGGAAUCUUCCGCAAUGGGCGAAAGCCUGACGGAGCAACGCCGCGUGAGUGAUGAAGGUCUUCGGAUCGUAAAACUCUGUUAUUAGGGAAGAACAAAUGUGUAAGUAACUAUGCACGUCUUGACGGUACCUAAUCAGAAAGCCACGGCUAACUACGUG